rnacentral:rRNA from 1 species
CACGAACGCUGGCGGCGUGCCUAAUACAUGCAAGUCGAGCGCAGGAAACUGACGGAACUCUUCGGAGGGAAGGCAGUGGAAUGAGCGGCGGACGGGUGAGUAACACGUAAGGAACCUGCCUCAAGGAUUGGGAUAACUCUGAGAAAUCGGAGCUAAUACCGGAUAGUUCAACGGACCGCAUGGUCCGCUGAUGAAAGGCGCUCCGGCGUCACCUUGAGAUGGCCUUGCGGUGCAUUAGCUAGUUGGUGGGGUAACGGCCCACCAAGGCGACGAUGCAUAGCCGACCUGAGAGGGUGAGCGGCCACACUGGGACUGAGACACGGCCCAGACUCCUACGGGAGGCAGCAGUAGGGAAUCUUCCACAAUGGACGAAAGUCUGAUGGAGCAACGCCGCGUGAGUGAUGAAGGUUUUCGGAUCGUAAAACUCUGUUGUAAGGGAAGAACACGUACGAGAGGAAAUGCUCGUACCUUGACGGUACCUUACGAGAAAGCCACGGCUAACUACGUGCCAGCCGCCGCAGUAAAAC